rnacentral:rRNA from 1 species
GACGAACGCUGGCGGCGUGCCUAAUACAUGCAAGUCGAACGCACAGUCUAUACCGUAGCUUGCUACACCAUAAACUGUGAGUUGCGAACGGGUGAGUAACGAGUAGCUAACCUGCCUGGUAGCGGGGGAUAACUAUUGGAAACGAUAGCUAAUACCGCAUCAUAUUGAUUAUUGCAUGAUAAUUGAUUGAAAGAUGCUAUUGCAUCACUACCAGAUGGACCUGCGGUGUAUUAGCUAGUAGGUGAGGUAACGGCUCACCUAGGCGACGAUACAUAGCCGACCUUGGAAGGUGAUCGGCCACACUUGGACUGGGACACGGCCCAGGCUCCUACGGGGGGCAGCAGGAGGGGAACUUCGGCAAUGGGCGAAAGUCUGACCGAGCAACGCCGCGGGGGUGAAGGAGGGUGUCGGAUCGGAAAGCUCUGUUGUAAGAGAAGAAAGGGUGUGAGAGUGGAAAGUUCACGCUGUGACGGUAUCUUACCAGAAAGGGACGGCUAACUACGUG